UAGGGAAUAUUAGUAAUGGGCGAAAGCCUGAACUAGCAACGCCGCGUGUGCGAAGAAGGCCUUCGGGUUGUAAAGCACUUUUUGAGAGGAUGAGGAAGGACGGUACUCUCAGAAUAAGUCUCGGCUAACUACGUGCCAGCAGCCGCGGUAACACGUAGGAGGCAAACGUUAUCCGGAUUUACCGGGCGUAAAGCGCGUGUAGGUGGUUUGGUAAGUAGGGCGUGAAAGCUCCUGGCUCAACUGGGAGAGGCCGUUCUAAACUGCCGAACUAGAGGAUGGUAGAGGGAGGUGGAAUUCCGGGUGUAGCGGUGGAAUGCGCAGAUAUCCGGAGGAACACCAGUGGCGAAAGCGGCCUCCUGGACCAUUCCUGACACUCAGACGCGAAAGCGAGGGUAGCAAACGG
rnacentral:rRNA from 1 species